AUUGAACGCUAGCGGGAUGCUUUACACAUGCAAGUCGAACGAGUGGCGGACGGGUGAGUAAUAUAUCGGAACGUUCCCAGUAGCGGGGGAUAACUACUCGAAAGAGUGGCUUAUAACGCAUACUAUUUGCGCGGACGAUAUCGGAUGGGCUUGUUGGUGGGGUAAAGGCUCCCAAAGGCACCGAUCCGUAGCUGGUUUGAGAGGACGAACGUCCACACGGGGACUGAGACACGGACCAGACGCCUACGUGAGGCAGCAGUGGGGAAUUGUGGACAAUGGUGGAAACCCUGAUCCAGCCAUGCCGCGUGUAUGAGAAGGCCUUCGGGUUGUAAAGUACUUUUGGCAGAGAAGCGGUAUCUGCAGAAGAAGCACCGGCUAACUACGUGCCAGCAGCCGCGGUAAUUC
rnacentral:rRNA from 1 species